rnacentral:rRNA from 1 species
UACGUAGGGUGCGAGCGUUAAUCGGAAUUACUGGGCGUAAAGGGCGUCUAGGUGGACGCCCAAGCGGGGUGUGAAAGCUCCUGGCUUAACUGGGGAGAGUGCGCUCCGAACUGGGGCGACUAGAGGGCAGGCGACGGAGGUGGAAUACCCGGUGGAGUGGUGAAAUGCGUAGAGAUCGGGCGGAACACCAGUGGCGAAGGCGGCUGUCUGGUCCGGUUCUGACGCUGAGGCGCGAAAGCGUGGGGAGCAAACAGG